CCUACGGGAGGCAGCAGUGGGGAAUAUUGCACAAUGGGGGAAACCCUGAUGCAGCGACGCCGCGUGAGUGAAGAAGUAUUUCGGUAUGUAAAGCUCUAUCAGCAGGAACGAGACAAGACGGUACCUGACUAAGAAGCCCCGGCUAACUACGUGCCAGCAGCCGCGGUAAUACGUAGGGGGCAAGCGUUAUCCGGAAUCACUGGGUGUAAGGGGAGCGUAGACGGCUGUGCAAGCCUGAAGUGAAAGGCGGGGGCCCACCCCCUGGACUGCUUUGGGAACUGUACGGCUGGAGUGCAGGAGAGGUAAGUGGAAUUCCUAGUGUAGCGGUGAAAUGCGUAGAUAUUAGGAGGAACACCAGUGGCGAAGGCGGCUUACUGGACUGUAACUGACGUUGAGGCUCGAAAGCGUGGGGAGCAAACAGGAUUAGAUACCCCAGUAGUC
rnacentral:rRNA from 1 species